CUCUCAACACUUCUAUUUCAUUGAUGGUAGUAGUAAGUUGGGAACUAAUUACUAACAGCUCAAGAGAUUCAAUUUUCUUAUAAGUUAGCAAAUGGGGAGAAUUUAGGCUGAAGGAUUCUUUAGGUCACACAUGUGACCCGGUUCGAAUUGUAAUGAGCUACUUGGGUUCUCUUUCUUCCCUUAGCAUCAGGUGGAUAUAGAGACCAACAAGGCACUUCUAAAGAACACUAAUGGCAAAACGUCUUCAAAGAAAACUGUUAAGCUUUCGUUUUCAGCUGUAUUGGUUUAUUAGGUCUAUUGUCUGGAAUGGGCAUCCGCAUUGCACUCUUGAUGUUUGAAUACAGGCUUUAUUUGACAGCAAUGCCAAUCCCGAGGCAGAUAUCUAUUUUCGAGUGCUUAUGGGUCAGAGGAGACUACCACCACCACCUCGAGUAUGAGACUCCUUCAAUAACAUGGAAGCCGCGGAGUAACAUGCAUUUGUUCAACCGAGACUGCUUCAACAGGCAUGCUAAAUAGCUCUGGCCUCCAAGGGCGUAGUCUAUGGUUGCGACAACGACCUUCAACAAUUAACAUAGACUAUGGUUGCAACAACGACCUUCAACAAUUUAUCAAAAUAUAGACACGGAAGAAUCCACCCUCUAAACCCAUAAUACAACACUCCUUGGAAAAUACUUAUUUUGGCCUAUUCCGAAAUUCUACGAUACGUGCAGCAUAUCCUUGCAGAGUUGCAGUGACCCUUGAGAACCAAAAUUUUUCCGAAGCAAAGAAUAAGGACUUUAUUUCUAAGCUUAGCCAAAGCAUAUUGAGCUUAUUACUCUAAAAUCCCAAAACAUACUACAAGCUAUUACCGCUGAAGGCAUUAUAAAAUCUAAAUAACAUAUGCUAAAUCUUCUCAUAGUACAAAUAGCACAUCCACUUCAAGCCAGCUACAGUGUGAGAUUCCUUUCUUAACACUUGACUUCUUUGAGCCCAUUUGCACUUCCUUGUAGUAUGCAAAUACCAGGUUGCCAUCAUCAUGCAUGCUCUCUCCCACUAAGUAACAAUACAAGCUCGACAUAGUCAGAAUAGGUGUCAACUUGGAAAUUGAAUAUUAAAUCAUGAGAAUUUUCAAAAAACCUCCAGUUAGACUUCGCUUUUCUUUUCUUAUUUAGUUAUUUUGAGAAGUAUAAAGAUAAAGAUACAAUCGGAGGUCACUAAGCUUUGAAAGCAGGAACUUGGUAGCUCCUUAAAUGUGCUUGUUGAACAACUCUUGCUUCUCUGGCUCCAAUUUGGGUGUCAGCAAUUUGAUGUACCUCUUCAUGUAGGUAACAAACUGCUUUUUGUCAAAAGCAGGAUGCUCCUGA
rnacentral:misc_RNA from 1 species